ACUCCUACGGGAGGCAGCAGUGGGGAAUUUUGGACAAUGGGCGAAAGCCUGAUCCAGCAAUGCCGCGUGUGUGAAGAAGGCCUUCGGGUUGUAAAGCACUUUUGUCCGGAAAGAAAUCCCUGGCUCUAAUACAGUCGGGGAUGGACGGACCGGAAGAAUAAGCACGGCUAACUACGUGCCAGCAGCCGCGGUAAUACGUAGGGUGCAAGCGUUAAUCGGAAUUACUGGGCGUAAAGCGU
rnacentral:rRNA from 1 species